rnacentral:tRNA from 1 species
GGGUAUAGCUCAGUGGUAAAGUGCAUGCUUAGCAUGCACGAGGUCCUGGGUUCAUUCCCCAGUACCUCCA